rnacentral:rRNA from 1 species
CACGGAGGAUGCAAGAGUUAUCCGGAAUUAUUGGGCGUAAAGAGUACGUAGGUGGCCUAUCAAGUCAGAGGUCAAAUCCCACGGCUUAACUGUGGACCGGCCUUUGAAACUGACAGGCUCGAGGAUGGCAGGGGUAGAGGGAAUUCCCGGUGUAGCGGUGAAAUGCGUAGAUAUCGGGAAGAACACCUGUGGCGAAAGCGCUCUACUGGACCAUCACUGACACUGAGGUACGAAAGCUAGGGGAGCGAAUGGG